GUUUAACUAAGGGAGGUGGACGAGAUUGGAAUCCCAAAAUCAGAUUGAAAUCUCCAACUUUUGCUAGGGUUCUUGUACACCCACAUCUAAAACAAGACAGAUGAAAUCCAAAAAAUUUGAUAAUGCAUGUUGGAUUUGAGCUACAAACUAGAAUGGAUAAGUAUCUUCAAGCAAGGUGUGGCAAAGCUUGGAAGACAACAUGGCGAACAAGUAGAAAUGAUGACGACUUUCGUACGGGCCAAGCUGCAGGUUUUGUGACGAGACUAAGGACGGAUUUUUGACAUAAAAGUUUUAUCAAAUGUGGUAAGGAAUAAUUGUAUGAUUUUGAAGGUAACUUGCUAUAAGAGAUAAAGGUUAGGCGUAUAUUUCCUUGAUUAUAGUGGGAUACAUGUGAUAUACCAUUCACUUAGAUUUGCUAAUGAUGUGUUGUAUGUGUUCUCAGGUAUACGAGUAUUGAAGCUAAAAUUUAUGACAUUGAAGAUCGAGUCUGAAGUUUGGAUUGUACGAGUUGGGCAAGGAUUAGUUGGUUCAUAAGUAGACUAUGAACACUCUUCAAGGAAGGAUUGUAACACCUAGCUAAUAGUAUUAAAGAAAUACAAUUGGCAAUUGAUAUUAAGUGUAAAUUGUCAAACGAUUUUUUUGGGAUCAAUUUCCGCUGCUAAAUAAAUAUAGAAAUCUUGUUUUCAAA